GGACCACACUCACCUUUUGUAAUCAUAUAAAUAAGAAUCACAGUGCUUCCGUAGUGACUGUGAAUAGAUUUUUUUUUUUUUAUACUCAAUAUUUCCUUUUCUCUGCCAUGGUUAAGCCUGAGGCAAGUCCCAUCUUCUACAGUAUAGUUUACUUCUUGUUGCGCUUUGUAUUACUAGCUUACUCAGUUCCUCAAACUGCUCUUAUCACUCAAAUUCCUGGUUUCUCUGGCACUCUUCCUUCUAAACACUAUUCUGGGUAUGUAACUAUCGAUGAAAGCCAUGGCAAGAAACUAUUUUACUACUUUGUUGAAUCUGAGGGGAACCCCUUGAAGGAUCCGGUUGUUCUUUGGCUCAAUGGUGGACCUGGAUGCUCUAGCUUUGACGGAUUUGUAUAUGAGCAUGGUCCUUUCAAUUUUGAAGCUGCAAAUCAGUCAGAUGAUCUACCCAAAUUGCAUCUUAAUCCAUACAGCUGGUCCAAGGUUUCCAACAUUAUAUAUUUGGAUUCCCCUGCUGGUGUUGGGCUCUCAUAUUCUAAGAAUGAAACUGAUUACAUAACUGGAGAUGUAAAGACUGCCUUGGAUUCACAUAUAUUUCUCCUCAGGUGGUUUGAGCUGUACCCAGAGUAUCUUUCCAACCCAUUUUUUAUUUCUGGAGAGUCAUAUGCUGGGGUUUAUGUGCCAACUCUUGCUUAUGAAGUGGUGAAAGGAAUUGAUACUGGUGUAAAGCCUAUCCUUAAUUUCAAGGGAUAUUUGGUGGGAAAUGGAGUUACAGAUGAGAAGUUUGAUGGCAAUGCUCUUGUUCCAUUUGCUCAUGGCAUGGGCCUUAUUUCAGAUGACCUAUUUGAGGAGGUAAGCAAUGCAUGCAAGGGAAAUUUCUACCAACCACUUAGUGAAAAUUGUGAGAGCAAGCUUGCCAAGGUUGAUGCGGACAUUUCAGGUUUAAAUAUUUAUGACAUUCUAGAACCAUGCUAUUAUGACACAGACACAAGGGAGGUUACAGAUAUUAAAAUAAGGUUACCUUCUAGCUUUCUCCAAUUAGGUGAGACAGAUAGGCCUCUUCCUGUGAGAAAAAGGAUGCUUGGUCGUGCCUGGCCUUUUAGAGCUCCUGUAAGAGAAGGAAUUGUUCCAACUUGGCCACAGCUCCUCAAUAGCCGGAGUGUUCCCUGCACUGAUGAUGAAGUUGCUACCUCAUGGCUAAACAGUGCAGCAGUAAGGAAAGCAAUCCAUGCAGACGAGGAAAGUGUAGCUGGCACUUGGGAAUUAUGUACAGGUAGAAUCUCCUUUAGGCAUGAUGCUGGGAGCAUGAUCCAGUACCACAAGAACCUUACUCUAGGGGGAUAUCGAGCACUCAUAUUCAGGUGGAUCUCUUAACAUUUGCGAUUACUUUAUGUUGGUAAUAAAUUAGCUAGAUAAAAUGAGAGCAAGUUAUGGGUUUUAUAAGGGAAAUAAAUGAAGGGAAAAAGAAAAGAGAUAUUUUGGGUUUAAAGAAUUUAUGUAAAAACUGAAUGUUCUUCCAAUUUUUCUAUUGCUAAUAAGGUGAUGACCUCAAUCAAGUAUAUUAGAGUACUAAAAAAAUGAAAUAGAGUAGAGAGACAGAAACGGCAAGAUGUCUGAUGGUAAUUGUGACUGCUUGGGAUAAUGUUACUUUUCGUUUAAAGCAUGCUGUAUCAAUGCUUUGAGUUUCAUUCUUUUUCAAUUGCCACCUAAACCUCUGCAGCCUGUCCUGAAAAUGGGGUAAAAAGUUUGCCUUACUUAUUUCCUAGCUGUCUUGCUUCUACAACAAUUAAUGUAAUCAAGUAACUUGCAGUGGAUUUUAGUGCAUUAUGCUUUCACUUUAGCAACAGGUGGGUUAUCCUGAGUUCCUGCAUCUGUAAUUUUUAAAACUUGGAUAUUAAUUAAAAUGUGUCUCCUGAGUGAGAAAUAAGUAAAGAUAUACCAUGCAAGUAAGGUGAACUGAAAAACUGUACAUUGAAAAACAAAUGAGAGCUACGCCAAGGCUACCAUUAGCAUCACCACAAGAUGUUCUUUGAAGAAAAGGUUAGUGUUUGAUUAUUUGAAGUGCAUGGUUUAUGUAAGGUAACAGUGUCCAGGGACUGUAUUCUUGACCAUGAUUUGUGUCAUCUAUGUACGAGUGUUUUCAUAUAUAACUUUACAUUCUUGAGAACUGUGUCUUGGGUGGUUUUCUUCUGUUCUCUUAACAUUGAACAGUGUUUUUCACUGAUAUAUCUUAAGGUUUAUUGUAAUUACAGUUCUCUGCUUUAACUUUUGUCUUGCACUGUUUAUCCUUUCAUUUGUGUUUUCUGGUGAAUGAUGCAAAUUGCUAUGUAACUUUUUUGGUAGUGGGGAUCAUGAUAUGUGUGUUCCAUACACUGGGAGUGAAGCUUGGACAAGAUCAAUGGGAUAUAAAAUAGUGGAUGAAUGGAGGCCAUGGACUUCCAAUGGACAAGUUGCUGGGUACUUUCAUCAACUUUUUCUAUCCAAAAAUUACUUGAAUUAUAGCUCUGUUUGGAUAGGUGUGCAUUUGAAAUGAUUGAGGGUUUGGAUUAGUAUUUCAAGUAAAAAAUUAUAAAUUUUCAACAUAAUAUAAAUUCAAAUACCUCAUGAUUUGAAAUUCAGACCUAUCCAAAUGGAACCUAAUGUAAUUUGUCUAGCAUUUGUAUUAUUGAUAUUUGUUUCGCUAACAAAACUCUUAUUAUCAACUCUAAGUUAUUGGAGCUACUUGUAUGGGUGUGAUGGUGCCAAGCAAAUGAUAAUAAUGUAAUUGGGCAUUAACUUUAAUUUGGCUUGAAUUUCCUUUUAAUAUAAGCCUAGCAGAAGGUAUGUCCUGUAAAAGGGAAGUGGAUCGGUUCAGAUCAUCUAUAGAUAUAAUAAUAUUGGAGAUCAAUAAAUUUAGCAGGCAUUUUGUAGAUAAUAAUCAUUGUCUAACAACCUUAGGGUGCCAUUUGCUCACCGGUAAUGAAAGAUCAUGAAAAGCUCAUAAAAAAUAAAUGGGGAAAUUACCAAAAAAAUUUGUACUUUCAAUUUUUUAGCAAUUAUAUCUUAUACUAAUUAAAUUACCACUUAAACUCUAUGCUUUUCAACUUUUCCUAAUUAUAACCUACCAUCACUGGUCCAUUGACGUGAUGUGGUAAGUUGGUUAAGUAA
rnacentral:misc_RNA from 1 species